rnacentral:lncRNA from 1 species
UGAGCUGGCAAAGAUUCUGAUGUGAUGUUGUUGCUAGUGAAUUUUGUUCGGGAAGGUGGUGCCUUUCUCUGAAGUGUAAUAAGAAACCAGGUAGUUGGCUAGGCGUUGGAAUUCCAGUUUGCUGAAGCCGAGGUGAAAUUAGUUUGAUUUAUUGACUUAAGGGUCCGAGACAUGGGUGCAUAGGCAUCUUACUUUUUUAUACUUGAUCUUCGACUGUAAUUAUACCUAUUGUUCGCUUGUGAUGGAAUAAAUAACCCUCUGAAAAUGUCAUUCAGUCGGGCGAUUCGAUGUGAAGAUGGAUUUCCUUGACAUUGGUGGCACAGAAUAAACUUUGACAAGAUUGAGAUGAUCAAAUGUGAAAGGAAAAUUGGUGGUAUUGUUACCGCUAGAAUCUGGGUUUAAGUCAGUCUCUACCCGAGGUGUGUUGAGAUCGGCUAGAACUGAGGUUUGCCGAGGUCGGUUGAAACCGAGGAGGAAGGCGGGAUUGACCUGCAAAGAAGUCUACUUGCCGGAAGGUUCUCUGUGGGGACCCUCCGAUGCUUAAGUUAGUAAAAAUCUAGAGAAACAAUGGGAGAGAAAAAGAGAGAGAGAGAGAGAGAGAGAGAGA